GGGCCCGCACAAGCGGAGGAACAUGUGGUUUAAUUCGAUGAUACGCGAGGAACCUUACCCGGGCUUAAAUUGCAAAUGAAUAAGCUGGAAACAGUUUAGCCGCAAGGCAUUUGUGAAGGUGCUGCAUGGUUGUCGUCAGCUCGUGCCGUGAGGUGUCGGCUUAAGUGCCAUAACGAGCGCAACCCUUAUUUAUAGUUACCAUCAGGUUAUGCUGGGGACUCUAUGAAGACUGCCGUCGUAAGAUGUGAGGAAGGUGGGGAUGACGUCAAAUCAGCACGGCCCUUACGUCCGGGGCUACACACGUGUUACAAUGGGGGGUACAGCAGGUUGCUACACAGCGAUGUGAUGCUAAUCCGUAAAACCUCUCUCAGUUCGGAUCGAAGUCCUGCAACCCGACUUCGUGAAGCUGGAUUCGCUAGUAAUCGCGCAUCAGCCACGGCGCGGUGAAUACG
rnacentral:rRNA from 1 species